rnacentral:lncRNA from 1 species
UUUUGCUUCUCUAUCAUCACUUCACCCUCAUCACCACUCAGACACCACCCCUUCACCCCACAUCAGCCAAAACACUCGUCCCUUCCCUUCCUCCUCAACGAUCUCUUGUCUGCCAUACAAAACACCGGCGAUGGAGAGAGAGAACCGUGUUUGAAGAGACAGGCGCCGCGAGAGUAGAUAUAGAAAGAGGGAGCCAGUGAUCAACGAUUAAGAAGGUCACAACGGUGGUUCUGUGUUUUGGCGAUGGCGGUAUUAAGGUUCAAGCGACACUCCGGCUACCCCUUUUACACUAUACCUUAACAAAUUGAGCCGUUCUUCUAUGCUUUUUGGAGGUGUUUAAUCGUGUUUUCAUCUCGCCUUUGUGCUCGACUACUCAUUUGGGCAACUAGAAAAGCCGCAGGACGAGGACGACUGGCUCAACGAUGCUAACGACUCAACGAUGCUAGCGGCAUGAAUCCUCUACGACUUUCGAAGAUUUCCAUAAAUAAGUGUGUAGGCACACUAAUGUUAGUCACGCAACUUGCAACCAAAACAUUUGUAUAAAACCUAGAUACUAACUUUUUGCUCUAUGUGAUUAACCAUAUCGAUGUAACUUGAUGAUAACUAGCUGGAUGUAAAUAUAAAUCUAGCCCCCGCCGCAUCGCGGCGGGUUACAUUUCUAGUUGAUUGCUAAAUAAAAUCUUACCAAUAUAAUAAAGAAUUAUUAGU